rnacentral:rRNA from 1 species
GCUGGCGGCGUGCCUAACACAUGCAAGUCGAACGAGAAAGUGGAGCAAUCCAUGAGUACAGUGGCGUACGGGUGAGUAACACGUGACUAACCUACCCUCGAGUGGGGAAUAACCUCGGGAAACCGGGGCUAAUACCGCAUAACAUCUUCGGAUCAAAUGCGUAAGCAGCUUGAGGAGGGGGUCGCGGCCGAUUAGCUAGUUGGCGGGGUAAUGGCCCACCAAGGCAAUGAUCGGUAGCCGGCCUGAGAGGGCGCACGGCCACACUGGAACUGAAACACGGUCCAGACUCCUACGGGAGGCAGCAGUGGGGAAUUUUGCGCAAUGGGGGAAACCCUGACGCAGCAACGCCGCGUGGAGGAUGAAGCCCCUUGGGGUGUAAACUCCUUUCGAUCGGGACGAUUAUGACGGUACCGGAUGAAGAAGCACCGGCUAACUCUGUGCCAGCAGCCGCGGUAAUACAGAGGGUGCAAGCGUUGUUCGGAAUUAUUGGGCGUAAAGGGUGCGUAGGCGGUGCGGUAAGUCUGUUGUGAAAUCUCCGGGC